rnacentral:rRNA from 1 species
AGUAACGGCGAGUGAAGCGGCAACAGCUCAAAUUUGAAAUCUGGCUCUUUUAGAGUCCGAGUUGUAAUUUGCAGAGGGCGCUUUGGCUUUGGCAGCGGUCCAAGUUCCUUGGAACAGGACGUCACAGAGGGUGAGAAUCCCGUACGUGGUCGCUAGCUAUUGCCGUGUAAAGCCCCUUCGACGAGUCGAGUUGUUUGGGAAUGCAGCUCUAAAUGGGAGGUAAAUUUCUUCUAAAGCUAAAUAUUGGCCAGAGACCGAUAGCGCACAAGUAGAGUGAUCGAAAGAUGAAAAGCACUUUGGAAAGAGAGUCAAACAGCACGUGAAAUUGUUGAAAGGGAAGCGCUUGCAGCCAGACUUGCUUGCAGUUGCUCAUCCGGGCUUUUGCCCGGUGCACUCUUCUGCAGGCAGGCCAGCAUCAGUUUGGGCGGUGGGAUAAAGGUCUCUGACACGUUCCUUCCUUCGGGUUGGCCAUAUAGGGGAGACGUCAUACCACCAGCCUGGACUGAGGUCCGCGCAUCUGCUAGGAUGCUGGCGUAAUG